rnacentral:rRNA from 1 species
AUUGAACGCUGGCGGCAGGCCUAACACAUGCAAGUCGAGCGAGCGGCGGACGGGUGAGUCAUGUCUGGGAAAAUGCCUGAUGGAGGGGGAUAACUACUGGAAACGGUAGCUAAUACCGCAUACCAUCAGAUGGGCCCAGAUGGGAUUAGCUAGUAGGUGGGGUAACGGCUCACCACGGCGACGAUCCCUAGCUGGUCUGAGAGGAUGACCAGCCACACUGGACCUGAGACACGGCCCAGACUCCUACGGGAGGCAGCAGUGGGGAAGUUUGCACAAUGGGCGCAAUCCUGAUGCAGCCAUGCCGCGUGUGUGAUGAAGGCCUUCGGGUUGUAAAGCACUUUCAGCGGGGAGGCGUUACCCGCAGAAGAAGCACCGGCUAACUCCGUGCCAGCAGCCGCGGUAAUUC